GACAGAGGGUGCAAACGUUGCUCGGAAUUACUGGGCGUAAAGGGCGUGUAGGCGGGAAGGCAAGUCGGGCGUGAAAGCCCCAGGCUCAACCUGGGAACUGCACUCGAAACUGCCUUUCUUGAGUGCCGGAGAGGAAAGCGGAAUUCCUGGUGUAGAGGUGAAAUUCGUAGAUAUCAGGAGGAACACCAGUGGCGAAGGCGGCUUUCUGGACGGUAACUGACGCUGAGACGCGAAAGCGUGGGGAGCAAA
rnacentral:rRNA from 1 species